GUUUCCUGGACCCUACCAGGACAAGAAUCGCGGGGAGAGGUGCGAAGAAGGUCUGGAGAGGAGGAGGCUUGGGACAAUGCAGAGUCCUGGAAGUGAGGCUGACCGCUGACCGCUGUCAGGAGGGACAUGGACCGCUGCCGGGGAAUCAUGGGAUUUCCCACCGGCCCAGUCAUCUCCCACGUCGGGAAAAGGGAAGAGCUGCUUCCCCAUGGCGUGUGCGCGUGGGAAGGGUCUCGGGCAGAGAAGAGGCACUUUUUCUGUCCUCCAGGCUGUUUCCGCCAAAUGAAGACCUGGGCUGGAAGAGCCAGGAACAAAGAGGAGAGUCGAGUGCUGAGCACCCAGCGGGAGAGGAUGCAGCCCGGUCAUCUCACACCUGCUGACCACACAACAUCGUCUGCGAGUUCCCCCCACCUACUUCGCCUGCAGCUGCCAUUUGGGAAGAUGACUCUUGCCUCUUUCACCGUCUGUUUUUUAGAUUAGGACUCACGGGCCUAGGGCAGGAGUCAGCUCUUCCAGAUCUUUAUCGAAAAGUAACAUCACACUUGUGCCCAGGGGUUCGAGACCAGCCUGGGCAACAGGACAAACCCCCUUCUCUACAAAAAAACCCACAAAAUCUGUGUGGAAGGUGUGUGAACCCUUGGGAAACAGAGUUGCUGUACACGUGUAUCAGGCCCUGAGCCAGCUGCAGGGUGGGCAUUACUGCUUGGUGCCCUCCGCCCUCACUCUUCCUCCCUGGAUGUUGAGGAUGGCCCCGUAAACCUUGUUCAUAGGGGUCCCUCGUUUUCUGAGACACCUCAUCUGAGCACUGACGAGGGGACACAACUCUUGGCUGGGAAGCAGGAGACUGAGCAUUGCCUUCAAGCCAUCCCCACACAUGUGACCUCAGUCAGCAUUCUGCCCUUUCAUGGGUGUCAGUUGUCUCGUCCAUAAAAUGGGAUGAUGUUCUUGUUCCAGCCGGCAUACUGGAUGACUAAAUGAGGGAACAGGCCAUGGUUUUGCGGGAGGAGGAGCUACGUCAGUCUGCCUUGGAGCUCAGCACCGUGUUUGGCCCAUGGUAGAUGCCCCACAGAAAACAC
rnacentral:lncRNA from 1 species